GAUGAACGCUGGCGGUGCGCCUAAUACAUGCAAGUCGAACGUGAUCAUAGAGAAGUUUACUUUUUAUGUGAAAGUGGCGGACGAGUGAGUAACACGUAAGAAUCUACCCCGUACUCAGGGACAACCUUUCGAAAGGAAGGCUAAUACCGGAUGGUCUCGAAAGAGUAAAGCUUUAGCGGUACGGGAGGAGCUUGCGGCCUAUCAGCUUGUUGGUGAGGUAAAUGCUCACCAAGGCUAUGACGGGUAGCUGGUCUGAGAGGAUGAUCAGCCACGAUGGGACUGAGACACGGCCCAU
rnacentral:rRNA from 1 species